AGACGUUUUAAUUGGCAGAGAGGCUGCUAAAGCACCACAUCAGACAGCGUUUGGUAAGCAAAGACAGAGAAAACGCUACGCAACUGACACGCACACGCGACGUUCACGCCACGUUUCCGGUGUGAAAGGGGCCUAAUUUCAUAGACAUAAUGAAGUGGCCUACUUUAUUCUUCUAUGGUUGACACAUGCUUAAAUGUGAAGAAAUGAGAUGGACAGGGACUGAAUAAAAUCAAGAGAUAUAGGUAAUUGCAUAGCCAGUUUUACUGCUUCUAUUUUUUUCUUCAGCCGUGUGUUGUUGAGUUGUCUCCUCGUAUAUCAGAGGGGGAGGGAUUGUGAAGGCAGGGGAAGGAAGACCGAAGUUGCAGCAUCCAACAUCAUUAUUGGUGUUGUUUCGGAAAGGCUAGAACUCAACCCACAGACACGCACGAAGCCCGCUCAGAUGUAAUUGUUCCUGUGGGACUCGGGAAUGCAUAGGGAUCCAAUCUAAUUGGACGGUUUCUCUCAAAAACACAAAGGUCAUAAAAAUGCCUGAUGCCACAAACACAUGGAUGGAGCUACUAGGGAGAGAUACCUUCACCACGAUGGCACACCUCUGCCUCCUGGAUGACAAAGGGAGGAGUGGGGGAAGUAGGAG